GAUCCUGGCUCAGGAUGAACGCUAGCUACAGGCUUAACACAUGCAAGUCGAGGGGCAGCAUGAUUGAAGCUUGCUUCAAUUGAUGGCGACCGGCGCACGGGUGAGUAACACGUAUCCAACCUUCCGUACGACUCAGGGAUAGCCUUUCGAAGAAAGAUUAAUACCUGAUGGUAUCUUAAGCACACAUGUAAUUAAGAUUAAAGAUUUAUCGGUAGUACGAUGGGGAUGCGUU
rnacentral:rRNA from 1 species